UGUGUAUGAGCGUGAAAUAGAAAAUGAGAAUUAACAACUUAUCCAAUCUUCCAAGUCUUCUUUAUAUAGGUGGUUAAAUGAUCCGUUUGAGGGUAGAAUUGGAAUAGAAAAAUUGCAGUUGGCUCUUUGUAUAAUGGUUUGCAUAUAGGAGACAAAAUGGUACAAUAGUAUUGACCUUAGCCCACAAAAUUAGCAUAGUGGAUGGAAGAUUAAUAUUUUACUGUGUACUAUUUUCCUGACGCAAAA
rnacentral:lncRNA from 1 species